UAGAAAACCGCAAAAUUCCAAAGCCAACUUGUUAAAAAACUGCAUUUGACAAAAACCCUAACUCUUUCGUACCCGUUGCUUUCUUCUCCAUCGCUCUUCACACUUGAAGUUCGUAGCUCGUGCAAAUGUCGGAUUCUCCAGUAAGAAGGUAUUCAAGGUCUCCUUCCCCAUGGAGGGCUCAGUCAAGAUCCAGGUCUAGGUCUCCGGCAAGAUCAAGAUCCAGGUCUAGAUCUCCGUCAAGAUCCCUUGAAAGGGAAAUGCCUAGGUCUCAGUCAAGAUCCCUUGAAAGGGAGAGGCCUAGGUCGAUGUCAAGAUCGCUUGAAAGGGAGAGGCCUAGAUCUCGGUCAAGAUCCCUUGAAAGGAAGGUGCCUAGCUCUCCGUCAAGAUCUCUAGAAAGACAAAUUCCUAGGUCUCGGUCAAGGUCUCUUGAAAAGCAAAGGCCUAGGUCCCGAUCAAGAUCUCUUGAAAGGCAAAGGCCUAGAUCCCCCUCGAGAAGUCGUGGCAGAUCAAGAACAAGAAGUCCUGAUAGGAAUGCUGGGGAUACACUCUAUGUGACUGGCCUAUCUUCAAGAGUCACUGAGAAAGACCUGGAGGAGCAUUUCUCUACAGAAGGAAAGGUUGCUUCAUGUUUUCUUGUGGUGGAGCCCCGUACGCGUAUUUCUCGUGGUUUUGGGUUUGUUACUAUGGAAUCUGUUGAGGAUGCAAGCCGCUGUGUCAAGUACCUCAAUCAAUCUGUUUUAGAGGGUCGCUAUAUCACUGUAGAGCGGAAUGCAUUGCAUCAGCUAUGUUGGCAGCAAUCAAAGAUGAUCAGUUCAUCCAUGUCAACUUUAGUGAAACAACUUGAACUUGAUCAUUGGCAAGCUUAAACAGCUAAUCAAAUGCGUCUGAUCAACUAAACAUUAGCAACUAUAUUGUUCAACAACUUUACAACCUCAGCAUUCACUUUCAACUCUCAACUUAACAACGGACAUUAUCAACAACUUUCUAAUCAGGAUUUUAUGUCACGGAGAAAGCGACCAAGAACUCCCACACCUGGGCACUAUCUUGGGCUGAAAAAUACCAGAGACGAUGGUUAUCGUGGUGACCGGGGAAGGCAUAGGGGUGGACCUGGUCGUGAUGAUUAUCAAUAUCGGAGGUCUCCAAGGCGCUCACCACCAUAUCGAGGUGGGAGGGAUAUUUCACCAAGGCACUCUCCCUACGGUGGAAGAUAUAGGAGGGACAUGUCUAGGUCACCACCUCCUUAUCCCCAAUAUGGUAGCCCAGAUAGGAGGUAUGCUCGUGGGCCUAGGUGAUAUUUUACAUUAGUUUGUUUUGACAUUUGAAGAGUGAAAGCAAAAACUGUGUAAUUGGUAUGGUACUUCGACUGUAAGAUUAGGCCUAUAUACCUGUAAGAGUAUGCGUGUUUUGGAAAAGAGUUUAAACAACAAUUUCGUGGCUGUAACUCUUCGAUUAUAUUUUUUUAUUGAUCUAGUUAUGUAAUGCUUGUCCUACA